rnacentral:tRNA from 1 species
GCGCGAGUGGCGGAAUAGGCAGACGCGCUGGAUUUAGGUUCCAGUGCCCGAGGGCGUGGGGGUUCGAGUCCCCUCUCGCGCA